CCUACGGGAUGCAGCAGUGAGGAAUAUUGGUCAAUGGGCUUACGCCUGAACCAGCCAAGUCGCGUGAGGGAAGACUGCCCUAUGGGUUGUAAACCUCUUUUGUCAGGGAGCAACGCCGGCUACGUGUAGCCUGACUGAGAGUACCUGCAGACAAAGCCUCGGCUAACUCCGUGCCAGCAGCCGCGGUAAUACGGAGGAUGCGAGCGUUCUCCGGAUUUAUUGGGUUUAAAGGGUGCGUAGGAGGAAUGCCAAGUCAGCGGUAAAAUCGCGGGGCUCAACCUCGCUCCGCCGUUGAAACUGGCGGUCUGGAGUGGGCGAGAAGUAGGCGGAAUGCGUGGUGUAGCGGUGAAAUGCAUAGAUAUCACGCAGAACUCCGAUUGCGAAGGCAGCAUACCGGCGCCCAACUGACGCUGAAGCACGAAAGCGUGGGUAUCGAACAGGAUUAGAUACCCCAGUAGUC
rnacentral:rRNA from 1 species